rnacentral:lncRNA from 1 species
AGCUCUGCAUCCUAACUGGAAAAGAAUUUUUUCCUUCUUUUGCCAAGAAGAAAAUCAAAACUUGAGGAUGCCACCAUCUUCAAUUUACAAGCCCUAUGCUCCCAAAAAUGGAGGAAGUGAUAAUGCUUACAAUCUCCCCCAUCCGCACUUGGAACUUUCUGAUCCUGCAUGUUCAAAAUCCCAAAAGGACCACACGAGAAAAAGAAAGAGGCGCUCUCAUGCCCAGAUGCCGACGGCAAUCACCAUCCUCAUUUAUCCAGCUAGGAAGCAGACAUGGUGACGGUAGCGGUAGGUGAAACCUACGCCAGGAGGCCACUAAGGGCCCUAUGGAUG